UACAGGGGGCGGACAGCUGUUCGGUGAAUUACUGGGCGUAAAGGGCGCGUAGGCGGCCCGCUAAGUCGAACGUGAAAUCCCCAGGCUCAACCUGGGAACUGCGUCCGAUACUGGCAGGCUUGAAUCCGGGAGAGGGAUGUGGAAUUCCAGGUGUAGCGGUGAAAUGCGUAGAUAUCUGGAGGAACACCGGUGGCGAAGGCGGCAUCCUGGACCGGUAUUGACGCUGAGGCGCGAAAGCUGAGGGGAGCAAACGGG
rnacentral:rRNA from 1 species